rnacentral:ncRNA from 1 species
CAGGUGGUGCAUGGCUGUCGUCAGCUCGUGCCGUAAGGUGUUGGGUUAAGUCCCACAACGAGCGCAACCCUCGUAUUUAGUUGCCACCGUUGAGUUUGGAACCCUGAGCAGUUUUGUAUUUCAAGCCUAAUGUCAUGUUGGUUUCUUAA